rnacentral:rRNA from 1 species
CGCAAUGGGCGAAAGCCUGACGGAGCGACGCCGCGUGACUGAUGAAAUCCUUCGGGAUGUAAAGGUCUUUUAUGAGGGACGAAGUUUAUUGACGGUACCUCAAGAAUAAAGGGUUGCUAAACUCGUGCCAGCAGCAGCGGUAAUACGAGUGCCCUAAGCGUUAUCCGGAAUCAUUGGGCGUAAAGGGUGUGUAGGUGGUUGUGUUAGUCUUCUGUUAAAUUCUUCGGCUCAACCGGGGGCAUGCGGAGGAAACGGCGCGACUUGAGGAUGCGAGAGGCACAGGGAACUCAUGGAGUAGGGGUGAAAUCCGUUGAUAUCAUGGGGAACACCGAAAGCGAAGGCACUGUGCUAGCGCACUCCUGACACUGAAACACGAAAGCGU